rnacentral:rRNA from 1 species
GACGAACGCUGGCGGCGUGCUUAACACAUGCAAGUCGAACGGUAAGGCCCUUCGGGGUACACGAGUGGCGAACGGGUGAGUAACACGUGGGUGGUCUGCCCUGCACUUCGGGAUAAGCCUGGGAAACUGGGUCUAAUACCGGAUAGGACCAUGCGCUACACGGUGUGUGGUGGAAAGCGUUUGCGGUGUGGGAUGGGCCCGCGGCCUAUCAGCUUGUUGGUGGGGUAAUGGCCUACCAAGGCGGCGACGGGUAGCCGGCCUGAGAGGGUGACCGGCCACACUGGGACUGAGAUACGGCCCAGAGUCCUACGGGAGGCAGCAGUGGGGAAUAUUGCACAAUGGGCGCAAGCCUGAUGCAGCGACGCCGCGUGAGGGAUGACGGCCUUCGGGUUGUAAACCUCUUUCAGUAGGGACGAAGCGCAAGUGACGGUACCUACAGAAGAAGGACCGGCCAACUACGUGCCAGCAGCCGCCGUAA